GACGAACGCUGGCGGCGUGCUUAACACAUGCAAGUCGAACGAAGUGGCGAACGGGUGAGUAACGCGUAAUCAACCUGCCCUUCAGAGGGGGACAACAGUUGGAAACGACUGCUAAUACCGCAUACUGAAGGAGGGGAUUGCGUCUGAUUAGCUAGUUGGAGGGGUAACGGCCCACCAAGGCGAUGAUCAGUAGGCGGUCUGAGAGGGUUAACGGCCCAAUUGGGACCGAUGAACGGCCCAGACUCCUACGGGAGGCAGCAGUGGGGAAUCUGCCGCAAUGGACGGAAGGCUGACGGAGCAACGCCGCGGGAGUGAUGACGGCCUUCGGGUUGUAAAGCUCUGUUAAUCGGGACGCGGUACCGGAAUAGAAAGCAACGGCUAACUACGUGCCAGCAGCCGCGGUAAUUC
rnacentral:rRNA from 1 species